rnacentral:rRNA from 1 species
AGUAUAAGCAACUAUACUGUGAAACUGCGAAUGGCUCAUUAAAUCAGUCAUAAUUUAUUUGAUAGUACCUUUACCUGGAUAACCGUGGUAAUUCUAGAGCUAAUACAUGCUAAAAACCUCGACUUCGGAAGGGGUGUAUUUAUUAGAUAAAAAACCAAUGCCCUUCGGGGCUCCUUGGUGAUUCAUAAUAACUUAACGAAUCGCAUGGCCUUGCGCCGGCGAUGGUUCAUUCAAAUUUCUGCCCUAUCAACUUUCGAUGGUAGAAUAGUGGUCUACCAUGGUUUCAACGGGUAACGGGGAAUUAGGGUUCUAUUCCGGAGAGGGAGCCUGAGAAACGGCUACCACAUCCAAGGAAGGCAGCAGGCGCGCAAAUUACCCAAUCCCGAUACGGGGAGGUAGUGACAAUAAAUACUGAUACAGGGCUCUUUCGGGUCUUGUAAUUGGAAUGAGUACAAUCUAAAUCCCUUAACGAGGAACAAUUGGAGGGCAAGUCUGGUGCCAGCAGCCGCGGUAAUUCCAGCUCCAAUAGCGUAUAUUAAAGUUGUUGCAGUUAAAAAGCUCGUAGUUGAACCUUGGGCCUGACCGAUCUGUCCUCCUAAUCGAGCGCACGGAUUCGGUUGGGCCUUUCCUUCUGGGGAGCCCUAUGCCCUUCACUGGGCGUAGUGGGGAACCAGGACUUUUACCUUGAAAAAAUUAGAGUGUUCAAAGCAGGCAUUUGCUCGAAUACAUUAGCAUGGAAUAAUAGAAUAGGACAUCGGUUCUAUUUUGUUGGUUUCUAGGACCGCUGUAAUGAUUAAUAGGGAUAGUCGGGGGCGUCAGUAUUCAAUUGUCAGAGGUGAAAUUCUUGGAUUUAUUGAAGACUAACUAUUGCGAAAGCAUUCGCCAAGGAUGUUUUCAUUAAUCAGUGAACGAAAGUUAGGGGAUCGAAGACGAUCAGAUACCGUCGUAGUCUUAACCAUAAACUAUGCCGACUAGGGAUCGGACGGUGGUUUUUUAUGCCCCGUUCGGCACCUUACGAGAAAUCAAAGUUUUGGGCUCUG